rnacentral:rRNA from 1 species
CCUACGGGUGGCUGCAGUGGGGAAUAUUGGACAAUGGGCGAAAGCCUGAUCCAGCAAUGCCGCGUGAGUGAUGAAGGCCUUAGGGUUGUAAAGCUCUUUUACCCGGGAUGAUAAUGACAGUACCGGGAGAAUAAGCUCCGGCUAACUCCGUGCCAGCAGCCGCGGUAAUACGGAGGGAGCUAGCGUUGUUCGGAAUUACUGGGCGUAAAGCGCACGUAGGCGGCUUUGUAAGUUAGAGGUGAAAGCCUGGAGCUCAACUCCAGAAUUGCCUUUAAGACUGCAUCGCUUGAAUCCAGGAGAGGUGAGUGGAAUUCCGAGUGUAGAGGUGAAAUUCGUAGAUAUUCGGAAGAACACCAGUGGCGAAGGCGGCUCACUGGACUGGUAUUGACGCUGAGGUGCGAAAGCGUGGGGAGCAAACAGGAUUAGAUACCCAAGUAGUC